rnacentral:rRNA from 1 species
AUUGAACGCUGGCGGCAUGCCUUACACAUGCAAGUCGAACGGUAACAGGUCUUCGGAUGCUGACGAGUGGCGAACGGGUGAGUAAUACAUCGGAACGUGCCUAGUAGUGGGGGAUAACUACUCGAAAGAGUGGCUAAUACCGCAUGAGAUCUACGGAUGAAAGCAGGGGAUCGCAAGACCUGGCGCUACUAGAGCGGCCCAUGGGAGAUUAGGUAGUUGGUGGGAUAAAAGCUUACCAAGCCGACGAUCUGUAGCUGGUGUGAGAGGACGGUCAGCCACACUGGAACUGAGACACGGCCCAGAUGCCUACGGGAGGCAGCAGUGGGGAAUUUUGGACAAUGGGCGAAAGCCUGAUCCAGCAAUGCCGCGUGCAGGAUGAAGGCCUUCGGGUUGUAAACUGCUUUUGUACGGAACGAAAAGCCCCGGGUUAAUACCCUGGGGUCAUGACGGUACCGUAAGAAUAAGCACCGGCUAACUACGUGCCAGCCGCCGCCGUAA